GUACUGGGUAGCUCACUUGGUUAGAGCACAGUGCUGAGAACGCUGAGAUUGCAGGUCCGAUUUCUGUAUGGGACA